AACGCACGAGACCUGCGGACCUGCGGAAGGAUCAUUAAUGAGAAGCUGCCCCUCGCGGGUAGAUCUCCCACCCUUUGUAAACUUACCUUUGUUGCUUUGGCAGGCCCGUCUCCGGACCGCCGGCUUCGGCUGGCCAGUGCCUGCCAGAGGAUUCUAAAACUCUGUCUGUCAGUGUUGUCUGAGUCUAUAUACAAUCGUUAAAACUUUCAGCAAUGGAUCUCUAGAUCGGAAGAGCACACG
rnacentral:misc_RNA from 1 species